rnacentral:SRP_RNA from 1 species
GCCAGUGCCACACCUGUAAUCCAAGUCCAAGGGGGCUGAGGCUGGAGGAUCGAUUGAGCUCAGACGCUCUGAGCUGCCGCGGACUGUGCUGAUCAGGCAUCCACGCUAAGUUCGGUAUCGAUAUGGUUCUCCUGGGGCAGCCCGGGACGACCAGGUCGUCUAAGGUGGGGUGCACUGGCCCAAGUCGAAGACUGAGCAGGUCAAAGCCCCCUUGCCACUCAGUUGUGGGAUCUCGCCCAUGAAUAGACGCUCCAGUGCAUCCUGAGCAACACAGAGACCAAGUCUCUU